ACGCGUGGGAACCUGCCCUGGAGUGGGGGAUAACCGGCGAAAGCCGGGCUAAUACCGCAUACGCUUAGGGAAAGAUUCGCUCUAGGAUGGGCCCGCGUCGGAUUAGCUAGUUGGUGGGGUAACGGCCUACCAAGGCGAUGAUCCGUAGCUGGUCUGAGAGGAUGAUCAGACACACUGGGACUGAGACACGGCCCAGACUCCUACGGGAGGCAGCAGUGGGGAAUAUUGGACAAUGGGCGCAAGCCUGAUCCAGCAAUGCCGCGUGAGUGAUGAAGGCCUUAGGGUUGUAAAGCUCUUUCGGCGGGGACGAUUGACGGUACCCGCAGAAGAAGCCCCGGCUAACUUCGUGCCAGCAGCCGCGGUAAUACGAAGGGGGCUAGCGUUGUUCGGAAUUACUGGG
rnacentral:rRNA from 1 species